UACGGAAGGGGGCUAGCGUUGCUCGGAAUCACUGGGCGUAAAGGGUGCGUAGGCGGGUCUUUAAGUCAGGGGUGAAAUCCUGGAGCUCAACUCCAGAACUGCCUUUGAUACUGAGGAUCUUGAGUUCGGGAGAGGUGAGUGGAACUGCGAGUGUAGAGGUGAAAAUUCGUAGAUAUUCGCAAGAACACCAGUGGCGAAGGCGGCUCACUGGCCCGAUACUGACGCUGAGGCACGAAAGCGUGGGGAGCAAACAGG
rnacentral:rRNA from 1 species